rnacentral:rRNA from 1 species
UACUCGAGUGGCGAACGGGUGAGUAACACGUGGGUGAUCUGCCCUGCACUUCGGGAUAAGCUUGGGAAACUGGGUCUAAUACCGGAUAGGAGCCAUCUUUAGUGUGGUGGUUGGAAAGUUUUUUCGGUGUAGGAUGAGCUCGCGGCCUAUCAGCUUGUUGGUGGGGUAAUGGCCUACCAAGGCGGCGACGGGUAGCCGGCCUGAGAGGGUGUACGGCCACAUUGGGACUGAGAUGCGGCCCAG